rnacentral:rRNA from 1 species
UACGUAGGUGGCAAGCGUUGUCCGGAUUUAUUGGGUUUAAAGGGUGCGUAGGCGGCUUUGUAAGUCAGCGGUGAAAUACUCUAGCUUAACUAGAGGGGUGCCAUUGAUACUGCGGAGCUUGAGUACAGAUGAGGUAGGCGGAAUUGACGGUGUAGCGGUGAAAUGCAUAGAUAUCGUCAAGGACACCGAUAGCGAAGGCAGCUUACUGGGCUGUAACUGACGCUGAUGCACGAAAGUGUGGGGAUCAAACAGG